GGUUCGGACCCGAGGAACCGAGACCCCCGGUUGUGAGAUAGUCGUUCAGAGUUCGUUGUUAAAGCUUCAGCCACCAGGUGAGUGGAACAACCCCUUAAGUUUUAAAGUAAAGUAAAUGAAUAAAUAAAUAAAUGAAUGAAUCAUAAAGCAUUGCCCAUGCAUCAUUAUGCCAUGCAAUAUUUCAGGAUGUUUGCAUUAGAAUUCACGAAUAUGCUGCAUUGCAUAAAUUGAUGUUGAUGUGGAUGGUUGUUGGGUGAUCCAUAGUCCUCUGAUGUUAUGCUAUGAUGAUAUGUUAUGGAAGACCAGUGAGGCCCAUUCUACGCCCCUGGACUAAGUUAAGAGAGAGACCAGUGAGGCCCAUUCUACGCCCCUGGCAUAUUGGAAUGUUAUGUUAUGUUAUGUAUGUAAGAGAAAGACCAGUGAGGCCCAUUCUACGCCCCUGGCAUAUUGGAAUGUUAUGUUAUGUUAUGUUAUGUAUGUAAGAGAAAGACUAGUGAGGCCCAUUCUACGCCCCUGGCAUUUGGAGAUGUUGAGGACUAAUGGUGACAAUACCAUCCUUUAUGUGAUUAACUGUGAUGUGUUGCAUUUCAUGAAAGCAUGAAUAAGAGAAAGAAAGAAAAAGUUAAAUAAUAUGAUAAAAUAAAAUAAUAAUAAUAAUAGUAAUAAAAUGAAUAAUAAUAUACCUAAAAAUGGAGGAAUUAAAGCAAAUAUUUUUAGUUUCUGCUCAUUGGGCUUUAUAGCUCACCCCCUCUCCCUUAACCCCAGUCUUGCAGGUGCAGAGUAGAUAGAGAAGUCAUCAGAGUAAGAGAAGUUUAUGUAAUAGCUUAGCUGUGGACAUGGUUUGUUGGUAAUGUAAAAGUAUGAGAUGUAAUGUAAUGUAAGUUUAAUAAUGUGCUUGACUAGAGUCUGUUGUAUUCCCUGUACACAUGGU
rnacentral:lncRNA from 1 species